AUUGAACGCUAGCGGGAUGCUUUACACAUGCAAGUCGAACGGCAGCGCGGACUUCGGUCUGGCGGCGAGUGGCGAACGGGUGAGUAAUGUAUCGGAACGUGCCCAGUAGCGGGGGAUAACUACGCGAAAGCGUAGCUAAUACCGCAUACGCCCUACGGGGGAAAGCAGGGGAUCGUAAGACCUUGCACUAUUGGAGCGGCCGAUAUCGGAUUAGCUAGUUGGUGAGGUAACGGCUCACCAAGGCGACGAUCCGUAGCUGGUUUGAGAGGACGACCAGCCACACUGGGACUGAGACACGGCCCAGACUCCUACGGGAGGCAGCAGUGGGGAAUUUUGGACAAUGGGGGCAACCCUGAUCCAGCCAUCCCGCGUGUGCGAUGAAGGCCUUCGGGUUGUAAAGCACUUUUGGCAGGAAAGAAACGUCGCGGGCUAAUACCCCGUGGAACUGACGGUACCUGCAGAUUAAGCACCGGCUAACUACGUG
rnacentral:rRNA from 1 species